AUUGAACGCUGGCGGCAGGCUUAACACAUGCAAGUCGAGCGGGUUGAUGGUGCUUGCACUAUCACUUAGCGGCGGACGGGUGAGUAAUGCUUAGGAACCUGCCUAUUAGUGGGGGACAACAUCUCGAAAGGGAUGCUAAUACCGCAUACGUCCUACGGGAGAAAGCAGGGGAUCACUUGUGACCUUGCGCUAAUAGAUGAGCCUAAGUCGGAUUAGCUAGUUGGUGGGGUAAAGGCCUACCAAGGCGACGAUCUGUAGCGGGUCUGAGAGGAUGAUCCGCCACACUGGGACUGAGACACGGCCCAGACUCCUACGGGAGGCAGCAGUGGGGAAUAUUGGACAAUGGGGGGAACCCUGAUCCAGCCAUGCCGCGUGUGUGAAGAAGGCCUUAUGGUUGUAAAGCACUUUAAGCGAGGAGGAGGCUCUUUUGGUUAAUACCCAAGAUGAGUGGACGUUACUCGCAGAAUAAGCACCGGCUAACUCUGUGCCAGCCGCCGCCGUAA
rnacentral:rRNA from 1 species